rnacentral:rRNA from 1 species
AACGAACGCUGGCGGCAGGCCUAACACACGCAAGUCGAGCGAACCCUUCGGGGUUAGCGGCGGACGGGUUAGUAACGCGUGGGAAUAUACCCUUUGGUACGGAAUAGCCUCGGGAAACUGAGAGUAAUACCGUAUGUGCCCUUCGGGGGAAAGAUUUAUCGCCAAAGGAUUAGCCCGCGUUGGAUUAGGUAGUUGGUGGGGUAAUGGCCUACCAAGCCUACGAUCCAUAGCUGGUUUGAGAGGAUGAUCAGCAACACUGGGACUGAGACACGGCCCAGACUCCUACGGGAGGCAGCAGUGGGGAAUAUUGGACAAUGGGCGAAAGCCUGAUCCAGCCAUGCCGCGUGAGUGAUGAAGGCCCUAGGGUUGUAAAGCUCUUUCAGUGGGGAAGAUAAUGACGGUACCCACAGAAGAAGCCCCGGCUAACUUCGUGCCAGCAGCCGCGGUAAAGUAGUCGUG